GACGAACGCUGGCGGCGUGCUUAACACAUGCAAGUCGAACGAAGAGCGAUGGAAGCUUGCUUCUAUCAAUCUUAGUGGCGAACGGGUGAGUAACGCGUAAUCAACCUGCCCUUCAGAGGGGGACAACAGUUGGAAACGACUGCUAAUACCGCAUACGAUCUAAUCUCGGCAUCGAGGAUAGAUGAAAGGUGGCCUCUACAUGUAAGCUAUCACUGAAGGAGGGGAUUGCGUCUGAUUAGCUAGUUGGAGGGGUAACGGCCCACCAAGGCGAUGAUCAGUAGCCGGUCUGAGAGGAUGAACGGCCACAUUGGGACUGAGACACGGCCCAGACUCCUACGGGAGGCAGCAGUGGGGAAUCUUCCGCAAUGGACGAAAGUCUGACGGAGCAACGCCGCGUGAGUGAUGACGGCCUUCGGGUUGUAAAGCUCUGUUAAUCGGGACGAAAGGCCUUCUUGCAAACAGUUAGAAGGAUUGACGGUACCGGAAUAGAAAGCCACGGCUAACUACGUG
rnacentral:rRNA from 1 species